UGGGGAAUUUUGGACAAUGGGCGAAAGCCUGAUCCAGCAAUGCCGCGUGUGUGGAGAAGGCCUUCGGGUUGUAAAGCACUUUUGUCCGGAAAGAAAUCCUCUGGGUUAAUACCUCGGGGGGAUGACGGUACCGGAAGAAUAAGCACCGGCUAACUACGUGCCAGCAGCCGCGGUAAUACGUAGGGUGCAAGCGUUAAUCGGAAUUACUGGGCGUAAAGCGUGCGCAGGCGGUUUUGUAAGACGGAUGUGAAAUCCCCGGGCUUAACCUGGGAACUGCAUUCGUGACUGCAAGGCUAGAGUAUGGCAGAGGGGGGUAGAAUUCCACGUGUAGCAGUGAAAUGCGUAGAGAUGUGGAGGAAUACCGAUGGCGAAGGCAGCCCCCUGGGCCAAUACUGACGCUCAUGCACGAAAGCGUGGGGAGCAAACAGGAUUAGAUACCCUGGUAGUCCACGCCCUAAACGAUGUCAACUAGUUGUUGGGGAUUCAUUUCCUUAGUAACGUAGCUAACGCGUGAAGUUGACCGCCUGGGGAGUACGGUCGCAAGAUUAAAACUCAAAGGAAUUGAC
rnacentral:rRNA from 1 species